rnacentral:rRNA from 1 species
GACGAACGCUGGCGGCGUGCUUAACACAUGCAAGUCGAACGGAAAGGCCCUGCUUUUGUGGGGUGCUCGAGUGGCGAACGGGUGAGUAACACGUGAGUAACCUGCCCUUGACUUUGGGAUAACUUCAGGAAACUGGGGCUAAUACCGGAUAGGAGCUCCUGCCGCAUGGUGGGGGUUGGAAAGUUUCGGCGGUUGGGGAUGGACUCGCGGCUUAUCAGCUUGUUGGUGGGGUAGUGGCUUACCAAGGCUUUGACGGGUAGCCGGCCUGAGAGGGUGACCGGCCACAUUGGGACUGAGAUACGGCCCAGACUCCUACGGGAGGCAGCAGUGGGGAAUAUUGCACAAUGGGCGGAAGCCUGAUGCAGCAACGCCGCGUGCGGGAUGACGGCCUUCGGGUUGUAAACCGCUUUCGCCUGUGACGAAGCGUGAGUGACGGUAAUGGGUAAAGAAGCACCGGCUAACUACGUGCCAGCAGCCGCGGUGAUACGUAGGGUGCGAGCGUUGUCCGGAUUUAUUGGGCGUAAAGGGCUCGUAGGUGGUUGAUCGCGUCGGAAGUGUAAUCUUGGGGCUUAACCCUGAGCGUGCUUUCGAUACGGGUUGACUUGAGGAAGGUAGGGGAGAAUGGAAUUCCUGGUGGAGCGGUGGAAUGCGCAGAUAUCAGGAGGAACACCAGUGGCGAAGGCGGUUCUCUGGGCCUUUCCUGACGCUGAGGAGCGAAAGCGUGGGGAGCGAACAGGCUUAGAUACCCUGGUAGUCCACGCUGUAAACGGUGGGUACUAGGUGUGGGGUCCAUUCCACGGGUUCCGUGCCGUAGCUAACGCUUUAAGUACCCCGCCUGGGGAGUACGGCCGCAAGGCUAAAACUCAAAGGAAUUGACGGGGCCCCGCACAAGCGGCGGAGCAUGCGGAUUAAUUCGAUGCAACGCGUAGAACCUUACCUGGGUUUGACAUGGAUCGGGAGUGCUCAGAGAUGGGUGUGCCUCUUUUGGGGUCGGUUCACAGGUGGUGCAUGCCUGUCGUCAGCUCGUGUCGUGAGAUGUUGGGUUAAGUCCCGCAACGAGCGCAACCCUUGUUCACUGUUGCCAGCACGUUAUGGUGGGGACUCAGUGGAGACCGCCGGGGUCAACUCGGAGGAAGGUGGGGAUGACGUCAAGUCAUCAUGCCCCUUAUGUCCAGGGCUUCACGCAUGCUACAAUGGCUGGUACAGAGAGUGGCGAGCCUGUGAGGGUGAGCGAAUCUCGGAAAGCCGGUCUCAGUUCGGAUUGGGGUCUGCAACUCGACCUCAUGAAGUCGGAGUCGCUAGUAAUCGCAGAUCAGCAACGCUGCGGUGAAUACGUUCCCGGGGCU